rnacentral:hammerhead_ribozyme from 1 species
ACACUGCUGAGGAGACCCACAAUAGGACGAAACGGCCGUUCAGUAU